rnacentral:rRNA from 1 species
UAGGGAAUCUUCCGCAAUGGACGCAAGUCUGACGGAGCAACGCCGCGUGAGUGAAGAAGGAUUUCGGUUCGUAAAACUCUGUUGUUAGAGAAGAACAGCGCAUAGAGUAACUGUUAUGCGUGUGACGGUAUCUAACCAGAAAGCCACGGCUAACUACGUGCCAGCAGCCGCGGUAAUACGUAGGUGGCAAGCGUUGUCCGGAUUUAUUGGGCGUAAAGCGAGCGCAGGCGGUCAAUUAAGUCUGAUGUGAAAGCCCCCGGCUCAACCGGGGAGGGUUGUUGGAAACUGGUUGACUUGAGUGCAGAAGAGGAGAGUGGAAUUCCUUGUGUAGCGGUGAAAUGCGUAGAUAUAUGGAGAAACACCAGUGGCGAAGGCGACUCUCUGGUCUGUAACUGACGCUGAGGCUCGAAAGCGUGGGUAGCAAACAGG